UACGGAAGGGGCAAGCGUUGUUCGGAAUCAUUGGGCGUAAAGGGCGCGUAGGUGGUUCUGUAUGUCUAUCGUGAAAGCAUACAGCUCAACUGUAUUUUGUCGGUAGAAACUGCAGGACUUGAGGCUGGGAGGGGCUGGUGGAAUUCCUUGUGUAGCGGUGAAAUGCGUAGAGAUGGGGGAGAACACUCGUGGCGAAGGCGGCCAGCUAGACCAGUUCUGACACUGAGGCGCGACAGCGUGGGGAGCAAACAGG
rnacentral:rRNA from 1 species